UUCUCCUCUACUAAUUACUGCAAUGACGAAUCUGAACUAUUGUCAAUACUCAUCAUCGUCAACUGUAGCAAGUAAAAUGAUCACGUUCAAUGUCUUUGUCUUGAUUAAGCCUAUUGUAUAUAAACCGAAGCUGUCCAACAAUAUUUGCCAUUUGUUAACUGAAGCUGCGUCAGUCGACAUGACGAUUUGUGAAAAAAAAUGUUUCAUCUCAUUUUUGUAUUUCAUCAUCAAAUCAUCAUCAGACAAUGAAUGAAUUAUAAUUUUUUUUUGUUCAUACAGAAUUCCGUCUUGUGAUUCAGUUCUGUGUAUUAAUUGGUGUCGUGAAAGAUGAACUGGUCUGGAAUGUUGUAUAAUAAUGCCUAAGCAUACGUCCUUUAUGUGUUAAAAUUAUUGCAAUUCUGAACAUGUUUCUAUCGUGCACAAUUUUACUGUGAAUAAUUUUUGUAAUAAACUAUAGUCAGAUUUGUUGUUUGCCAAGUGUUAGUUCAUCAGGAUAUUAAAGUGACUGAAUUUUAUGAAACGAUUUCAUUCGAAAAUUCUGUGCUGUGCUUAGUGAAGUGUUGUGUUUCAUCAUCAUCAUUGUGUUUCCAUCUUGUUCAUCUGAAUAUCAUCAUUAUCUUUAUUAGUCAAUAACCCGGUAUAUUUUCAGCGAAUUGACGCAACAAGUUUCAUAAUGAAUUUCGUGUUGUGAUUCAGUGCUGUGAUUAAUUUGUGUUUGUGAAGUGUUUCAUUGGUGUCAUCUUUAUCAAUUAGUGAAUUUCGUGUUGUGCAUAGUGCUGUGCAGUGAUUUAUUGGUGUUAGUGAAGUUUUUUUUGAUUCAACUCGUCUCUAAUUCCAUAUGUGGUUUGCUAUCAACUUGAUAUUCAUCAGACAAUGUAUCAACAAGUGUCAAAUUGAUUUCUGUUUGUUGAUUAUUUUAUUUGUGUUUUGUGUUGUGUUAUGUGUCCAUCUAGAAUCCAUCUUCAUAUCGUCAAUUCAACUCAGCUAUCGACUCGACAUUUAACAUUGUCAUCUCUGAUCAACUUGAUCGACUCGACGUUCCCGGACAACUGCAUAGUAGGUGUCAUUUUCAUU